AUGUAUAUGCUUACAACAUAGUGUUAAUGCACUUGAUCCCAUUAGAACUCCAUAGUUAAGCACGCUCGGCUAGAGUAGUAUUGGGAUGGGUGCCCACUCGGGAAAUCCUAGUGUUUUACAUG
rnacentral:rRNA from 1 species